UGUUCCUACGGGGGGCAGCAGUUAGGAAUAUUGGGCAAUGGAGGAAACUCUGACCCAGCAACGCCGCGUGAAGGAAGAAGGUUUUCGGAUUGUAAACUUCUGUUCUAUGGGGAGAAGAAAGUGACGGUACCAUAGGAGAAAGCCACGGCUAACUACGUGCCAGCAGCCGCGGUAAUACGGAGGGUGCGAGCGUUAAUCGGAAUUACUGGGCGUAAAGCGCUCGUAGGCGGUAUGUCAAGUCAAGGGUGAAAUCCCCGCGCUCAACGUGGGAACUGCCUUUGAAACUGGCAAACUGGAGUGUGUGA
rnacentral:rRNA from 1 species